rnacentral:rRNA from 1 species
UACAGAGGUCCCAAGCGUUUGUUCGGAUUCACUGGGGCGUAAAGGGUGCGUAGGUGGCUUGGUAAGUUCGAUGGUGAAAUCUCCGGGCUUAACCCGGAAUGGCAUUGAAUACUAUUGAGCUGGAGGUUUGGAGGGGGGACUGGAAUUCUCGGUGUAGCAGUGAAAUGCGUAGAUAUCGAGAGGAACACCAGUGGCGAAGGCGAGUCCCUGGACAACACCUGGACACUGAGGCACGAAAGCUAGGGGAGCAAACGGG